GGGAGCCGGAUGAAGCGAGAGCUUCACGUCCGGUUCUAAGAGCGGCUGAGGGGAAAGUACUCUCGGCCGACUCACC
rfam:Nitrosomonas communis strain Nm2, complete genome.